rnacentral:rRNA from 1 species
UUAAGCGACUAAGCGUACACGGUGGAUGCCCUGGCAGUCAGAGGCGAUGAAGGGCGUGCUAAUCUGCGAUAAGCGCCGGUAAGGUGAUAUGAACCGUUAUAACCGGCGAUACCCGAAUGGGGAAACCCAGUGUGAUUCGUCACACUAUCAUUAACUGAAUCCAUAGGUUAAUGAGGCGAACCGGGGGAACUGAAACAUCUAAGUACCCCGAGGAAAAGAAAUCAACCGAGAUUCCCCCAGUAGCGGCGAGCGAACGGGGAGGAGCCCAGAGCCUGAAUCAGCAUGUGUGUUAGUGGAAGCGUCUGGAAAGGCGCGCGAUACAGGGUGACAGCCCCGUUACACAAAAGCGCAUGUGCUGUGAGCUCGAUGAGUAGGGCGGGACACGUGGUAUCCUGUCUGAAUAUGGGGGGACCAUCCUCCAAGGCUAAAUACUCCUGACUGACCGAUAGUGAACCAGUACCGUGAGGGAAAGGCGAAAAGAACCCCGGCGAGGGGAGUGAAAAAGAACCUGAAACCGUGUACGUACAAGCAGUGGGAGCACCCUUCGGGGUGUGACUGCGUACCUUUUGUAUAAUGGGUCAGCGACUUAUAUUCUGUAGCAAGGUUAACCGUAUAGGGGAGCCGGAGGGAAACCGAGUCUUAACCGGGCGUUAAGUUGCAGGGUAUAGACCCGAAACCCGGUGAUCUAGCCAUGGGCAGGUUGAAGGUUGGGUAACACUAACUGGAGGACCGAACCGACUAAUGUUGAAAAAUUAGCGGAUGACCUGUGGCUGGGGGUGAAAGGCCAAUCAAACCGGGAGAUAGCUGGUUCUCCCCGAAAGCUAUUUAGGUAGCGCCUCGUGAAUUCAUCUCCGGGGGUAGAGCACUGUUUCGGCUAGGGGGCCAUCCCGGCUUACCAACCCGAUGCAAACUGCGAAUACCGGAGAAUGUUAUCACGGGAGACACACGGCGGGUGCUAACGUCCGUCGUGAAGAGGGAAACAACCCAGACCGCCAGCUAAGGUCCCAAAGUCAUGGUUAAGUGGGAAACGAUGUGGGAAGGCCCAGACAGCCAGGAUGUUGGCUUAGAAGCAGCCAUCAUUUAAAGAAAGCGUAAUAGCUCACUGGUCGAGUCGGCCUGCGCGGAAGAUGUAACGGGGCUAAACCAUGCACCGAAGCUGCGGCAGCGAACGUAUCACCCAAGACAACUUUACGGAGUUGACGAUUGACGGAGCGAAGCGACGUCAAAGCGUUCAUUAAAGUCGAGUUGGCUUAGGGAUACGUUCGUUGGGUAGGGGAGCGUUCUGUAAGCCUGUGAAGGUGUGUCGUGAGGCAUGCUGGAGGUAUCAGAAGUGCGAAUGCUGACAUAAGUAACGAUAAAGCGGGUGAAAAGCCCGCUCGCCGGAAGACCAAGGGUUCCUGUCCAACGUUAAUCGGGGCAGGGUGAGUCGACCCCUAAGGCGAGGCCGAAAGGCGUAGUCGAUGGGAAACGGGUUAAUAUUCCCGUACUUGGUGUUACUGCGAAGGGGGGACGGAGAAGGCUAUGUUGGCCGGGCGACGGUUGUCCCGGUUUAAGCGUGUAGGUGUGUGUUCCAGGUAAAUCCGGUUCACUUUAACACUGAGGCGUGACGACGAGGCACUACGGUGCUGAAGCAACAAAUGCCCUGCUUCCAGGAAAAGCCUCUAAGCAUCAGGUAACACGAAAUCGUACCCCAAACCGACACAGGUGGUCAGGUAGAGAAUACCAAGGCGCUUGAGAGAACUCGGGUGAAGGAACUAGGCAAAAUGGUGCCGUAACUUCGGGAGAAGGCACGCUGACACGUAGGUGAAGUGAUUUACUCAUGGAGCUGAAGUCAGUCGAAGAUACCAGCUGGCUGCAACUGUUUAUUAAAAACACAGCACUGUGCAAACACGAAAGUGGACGUAUACGGUGUGACGCCUGCCCGGUGCCGGAAGGUUAAUUGAUGGGGUCAGCGCAAGCGAAGCUCCUGAUCGAAGCCCCGGUAAACGGCGGCCGUAACUAUAACGGUCCUAAGGUAGCGAAAUUCCUUGUCGGGUAAGUUCCGACCUGCACGAAUGGCGUAAUGAUGGCCAGGCUGUCUCCACCCGAGACUCAGUGAAAUUGAACUCGCUGUGAAGAUGCAGUGUACCCGCGGCAAGACGGAAAGACCCCGUGAACCUUUACUAUAGCUUGACACUGAACAUUGAGCCUUGAUGUGUAGGAUAGGUGGGAGGCUUUGAAGUGUGGACGCCAGUCUGCAUGGAGCCGACCUUGAAAUACCACCCUUUAAUGUUUGAUGUUCUAACGUGGACCCGUAAUCCGGGUUGCGGACAGUGUCUGGUGGGUAGUUUGACUGGGGCGGUCUCCUCCUAAAGAGUAACGGAGGAGCACGAAGGUUGGCUAAUCCUGGUCGGACAUCAGGAGGUUAGUGCAAUGGCAUAAGCCAGCUUGACUGCGAGCGUGACGGCGCGAGCAGGUGCGAAAGCAGGUCAUAGUGAUCCGGUGGUUCUGAAUGGAAGGGCCAUCGCUCAACGGAUAAAAGGUACUCCGGGGAUAACAGGCUGAUACCGCCCAAGAGUUCAUAUCGACGGCGGUGUUUGGCACCUCGAUGUCGGCUCAUCACAUCCUGGGGCUGAAGUAGGUCCCAAGGGUAUGGCUGUUCGCCAUUUAAAGUGGUACGCGAGCUGGGUUUAGAACGUCGUGAGACAGUUCGGUCCCUAUCUGCCGUGGGCGCUGGAGAACUGAGGGGGGCUGCUCCUAGUACGAGAGGACCGGAGUGGACGCAUCACUGGUGUUCGGGUUGUCAUGCCAAUGGCACUGCCCGGUAGCUAAAUGCGGAAGAGAUAAGUGCUGAAAGCAUCUAAGCACGAAACUUGCCCCGAGAUGAGUUCUCCCUGAGACUUAGAGUCUCCUGAAGGAACGUUGAAGACGACGACGUUGAUAGGCCGGGUGUGUAAGCGCAGCGAUGCGUUGAGCUAACCGGUACUAAUGAACCGUGAGGCUUAACCUU